rnacentral:lncRNA from 1 species
AACAAACUAGAGGCUCUCAAGAGCCUGUAUCGCUCACCUGAUUCUACUUGGGUUUUUGAAAUCAUAUAAAAAAAUAUAAAAUUUGGCUAAAAGUAACAACACUUGGCCAGCACCUCAUAAGGAAAGGAACAUUCAUGCUAUGUUUGAUUUCAUUCAAUUCAGUGGUUCCUUAGAAGAAGACUUUUGUAUGCAUUUCCCAUAGGGUCCUAUGUUAAACUAAGUCCCCCGCUGGCAGCCAUCUUGGAUGAUGGAUCGGCUACAAAGUAACAACACUUGGUCAACACCUUAUAAGGAACAUUCAUGCCAUGUUUG